rnacentral:rRNA from 1 species
UACAGAGGGUGCGAGCGUUGUUCGGAAUUAUUGGGCGUAAAGGGCGCGUAGGCGGUGCCACAAGUCACCUGUGAAAUCCCCGGGCUUAACUCAGAGACUGCUUCCGAAACUGCUGUGCUUGAGUGUGGGAGAGGCGCGUGGAAUUGCAGGUGUAGCGGUGAAAUGCGUAGAUAUCUGCAGGAACACCCGUGGCGAAAGCGGCGCGCUGGACCACUACUGACGCUGAGGAACGAAAGCUAGGGGAGCAAACAGG